GGGGGCGACAUGGCUUCGACGUGGGUCGCGAAACCUGAGGUGCAUGCCGAGGCGCAGAGGACCUCGUAAAUCCAGCUGCAAACAACAUAGUUGCCAACGACGACAACUACGCCCUGGCCGCUUAAGGCAGCCAGCCUCUGACCGGAGCCGCGCUCACGCGUCCGGAGUCCCGCAAGGGACACUCAGGGGUCACCUCUCGUGAGAUCGUGGGGACGUUCGCCUGGGGCGAAACCACUAAAUCCUUACCGGGAUCGCCCGUCACACGCCCUGCCCAUCGGGUGGUGCCGGGUUAAAGACAAUAGAUCGGGAUAAGCAUGUAGAACCAACGGCAGAGGGCUUGCGGACGGGGGUUCAAUUCCCCCCGCCUCCACCA
rnacentral:tmRNA from 1 species